GGAGAGUAGAGUGUUCAAACCGAAAUCUGAAUAAAAUAUCAUAUGAAAUCGAGGAGUCUCUUAACGCGUUCAACUCUCUGAAUUCGAAAGGGAGAAAUUUGGCCAAAUUAAAUUCUGGAUAGAGGAAAAUUUCUACAUUUGCCUCUUUGAUCAUUGAAGAGAAACCACAGUUCGUCAAAAGCAGCGAUCGUAACCGGUGGCUAUGGCUCGAGCAGGUGGUCGGAGCAGGAAUGGGAAUGAAUCGAUGGUUGUAGGGUUUCUGAAAACGGCGUUCAGAUUCUUGAAGAUGGCGGAGUUUGAGAUACUUUUCGUUCUUUUCUUCAUUGUAGCUUUUAUCAUCUUCAAAGAUCUCACAUCAAGACCAGAAUACAAUCAGAUCCUUGUAAAGAAGCCUGAGGGGUUUGAUAUGUGGCCAUUCCCGUAAAUUCUUUACCAAUGCAACUGGCUUAUACUCGCAGGUUUCUAGGUUUGUAUCUUUUUAUAUUGAUGUGCAGGAUGAUGUAGAAAUGUUUAUUGACAUGUACACGUUGUUAUUGAUGUUUUCGUAACUCGGAAAGUUUUUGAAGUAAAUACUGGUCUUAUGAAUA